rnacentral:rRNA from 1 species
AUACGUAGGGGGCGAGCGUUGUCCGGAAUCACUGGGCGUAAAGGGCGCGUAAGUGGUUAUCUAAGUUAGACGUGAAAUCCAUGGGCUUAACCUGAGGCUUGCGUUUAAGACUGGAUAACUUGAGUGCAGGAGAGGGGAGCGGAAUUCCUGGUGUAGCGGUGAUAUGCGUAGAUAUCAGGAGGAACACCAGUGGCGAAGGCGGCUUUCUGGACUGUAACUGACACUGAGGCGCGAAAGCCGGGGGAGCAAACAGGAUUAGAUACCCUGGUAGUCCCGGCUGUAAACGAUGGGUACUAGGUGUAGGGGGUAUCGACCCCUCCUGUGCCGCAGUUAACACAAUAAGUACCCCGCCUGGGGAGUACGACCGCAAGGUUGAA